AACGAACGCUGGCGGCAUGCCUAACACAUGCAAGUCGAACGAGAUCUUCGGGUCUAGUGGCGCACGGGUGCGUAACGCGUGGGAAUCUGCCCUUUGGUUCGGAAUAACAGUUGGAAACGACUGCUAAUACCGGAUGAUGACGAAAGUCCAAAGAUUUAUCGCCAGAGGAUGAGCCCGCGUAGGAUUUGCUAGUUGGUGUGGUAAAGGCGCACCAAGGCGACGAUCCUUAGCUGGUCUGAGAGGAUGAUCAGCCACACUGGGACUGAGACACGGCCCAGACUCAUACGGGAGGCAGCAGUGGGGAAUAUUGGACAAUGGGCGAAAGCCUGAUCCAGCAAUGCCGCGUGAGUGAUGAAGGCCUUAGGGUUGUAAAGCUCCUUUACCCGGGAUGAUAAUGACAGUACCGGGAGAAUAAGCUCCGGCUAACUCCGUGCCAGCCGCCGCAGUAA
rnacentral:rRNA from 1 species